rnacentral:rRNA from 1 species
UACGGGGGGGGCAAGCGUUGUUCGGAAUUACUGGGCGUAAAGGGUUUGUAGGUGGCUCGCUAAGUCAUACGUGAAAUCCCUCAGCUUAACUGGGGAACUGCGUGUGAGACUGGCAAGCUCGAGUGCAGGAGAGGAAUGCGGAAUUCCAGGUGUAGCGGUGAAAUGCGUAGAUAUCUGGAGGAACACCGGUGGCGAAGGCGGCAUCCUGGACCGGCAUUGACGCUGAGGAGCGAAAGCCAGGGGAGCAAACGGG